rnacentral:snoRNA from 1 species
GACUAUGAUGAUAACGGUUACACUUCUUUCCCAGUCCGACAUCGACCAUGACGAUAUGGGAGUCUACCACGUUGCUGUCUCACGGGGCAGUGACUUUUUAAGCCAGUAUAUGCUCGACAUGUACAAUUUAUUUGAUCUGAGUC